UAGUCUGCAACUCGACUACAUGAAGCUGGAAUCGCUAGUAAUCGCAGAUCAGAAUGCUGCGGUGAAUACGUUCCCGGGUCUUGUACACACCGCCCGUCACACCAUGGGAGUCGGAAAUGCCCGAAGCCGGUGACCAAACCAAUAAGGAAGGAGCCGUCGAAGGCAGGUCUGAUAACUGGGGUGAAGUCGUAACAAGGUAUC
rnacentral:rRNA from 1 species